UGGCGUGGCUUCCCUCAGGACUCCACCUUCGAUUGCAUCCGGAUUGCGUAAUCGGGAAUUGCCCCGCCGGGAAGAACCCGGUCUCGAGGAAUCCGGAGACAGAGGAGAACGAAACGCUCGCCACACCUCUUCUGGGAGGAGGCGUUUAUGAGCUUUAACGCGAGGACACCUCGCCGGGGAAUCGGGAGGCCCGGACGACUUAAAAUUUAAAAACCUCUGCUCAUCGGUUGCCUUGCUUCGAAACAGAAAUUAAAAGACCCAGGUCGACCUAGACACUCCCGCGACAGAUGUGUGCGGCGCAGGAGCCCGGGAGGGGCAGGGGCGGCCCACGGUGCGGUGUGCUCUGGGAAGGAACAGGGUCCGAGACUGCGGAGGACCGGCCCGGCCUUGAAAGCAGGCCCCGACCCCUCGCAGUCUGUUGCGCAAGCAACGGGGCGGGAGUUGGGGAGGGCGGCUAAGUUCUGUUUCCAGGGAGACCAUUCGGCUGACCGCCAACAGAGCUAAAGGUGGACAAACCCCGACGGGCGGCCAAGGUCCUGAAGGGGCCCCCUAGUAAAGGUUGGCGACGAUGUCCUGACCCUUGAUUGACCCCAAACUCCUGAUUCUGCCUCUCCCAACCUCGUGACCCUGAGACGCGUCGAACCCCGCCAGAAUCUUCGGGCUGGUCGAGGGGAAGGGCUGAGCUGGAGGAGCGGGCUGGAGGCCUCGACCCAUGGUGCCCAAGAGGAAGCGCGGGCCGAGCGCCUGGGGCCGGUCUGGCGCGGCAGGAGAGGGCACCGAGCCGCCGCAAUCGGAGAGCGCUCAGUACUUGCAGCGAGAAUACAAACUGCUCUCGGAGCAGCUGGACGCCUGCGAGGAGCGCGUCGACCAGGAGCUGCAGGAGAACGCCUUCCUGGACUGCGAGGCGCAGCGCCUGCGCGAGGAGAACCGGCUCUACGCCAGCUACGUGAGCACGCGCGCGCAGCGCUGCGCCAACGCUAUCGUCCGGCUGGAGGAGCAGAACCGCGUGGACCUGACGGAGAUCCACCGGCAGCGCGCAGAGCUGGCGUCGCUCUACCGCCGGCGUGAGGAGGGGGUGUGCGCGCAGCUGCUGGAGAUGGAGACGCGCGCGGCGCAGAUGGCGCGACAGGUGCAGGAGCUGCAGCCCUACAAGGAGCUGCAGCUGGAGCAGCUGGCCCGGAUCCGGGCGCUGGAGCGCGAGCUGCUGCAUAUGCGCGUGGAGCACAUGCAGCUGCUCCAUCGCAUGAAGCGGUGUUUCCAGGAGGAAAAAGCAGCCUUCGAGCGCGAGGCGCGCCAGCGCGUGCAGUCCCUGGCGUGGCGCGCGGAGCGGGAGGCGGCGCGCGCGCUCAUCGCGCACACACAGGCCAUCAGAGAGGACAACGGGCGCCUGCGGCAGGAGCUGCUGCGGCUGCAACGCCGGGCCCAGGUGCUGCACGACACGCGGCGCCAGUUGCUGGAGCAGCGUGAACAGCUGCGGCGCGAGCACGAGGACAUGCGGAACCUGGCCCACGUGCACAGCUGGCUGCGCCGGGGCCCCGAGGGCCCGCCGCUUUGGCAACCGCCGCUGGCCAACUCGCACCCUGAGCACUUCGCCUCCACCACGAUCCAGUCGCGCGCGACCUCCUGGGCCCCAUCAGUCUCGGCCUCCCGGAAGCCGUCUCAGGUCUCGUGGCGCGCGGCCUCUUGGGCCCCAUCGUUGCUGUCGAAGCUCGCGGUUCCCUGGGUCCCGUCAUUGGUCCCGUCGCGUGUUGGCUCCAGGGUCCUGUCGCUGGCCCCUUCGAAGGCGGAAUCACGGGUCCCAUGCCACGACCCAUCGCAUGCGAGCUCCAGGGUCCCGUCCUUGACCUUGUCGCGCCCAGGCUCCCGAGUCCCGUCCCUGACCCCGCCACGCCUGGAUUCCUGGGCCCCUUCGCGGUCCUCAUUGCGUGCCGCCUCACAGAACACCACCCUCUUUGGGAAGUCCGUCCCCGGGUCGGGCUCUUCCCGUCCCCCAGUCGAAGGAGACCGUGAAUGUGACGCUGCAGGCGAAGGCGCCUUGGGGAGAUCCUGAACUUACCCGGAGGAAGGCCAAUGAGGCCAGACGGUGCGGGGGAGACGGGGGUGCGCAGGACGCGGAUUUGGUGAGUGGAUUAUCAAUAAAGGUGUGACCCCCUCCCCACCCCUCUCCGCUCUGGCACCGCCUGCUUCGCUGUCCCGCAUUUCUGGCCGGCGCAGGGACCACUCAUUAUGGCUCCCAGUUUCCAAGCUGCAAGGUAGCUUGAUCGUCCUGUGCCCUGUGUGUCUGCCAGGAUUGAGCAUCCCUCAACCCCACAGCUGACCUCUGGCAGGGGCAGAGGGAGCCGGCCACGCCAUCGUCCUGCCCAUGAGGGCUGAAGUCUGGUGGCAGAGAUGGACAUCACGGGCAUGGACAGCUUUCCAGCAUCUCCCUCUUAACAAGCUGCUCAAACUCAGCCCUGGUCUGCCCGGCAGGCUGCCAGCUGACGGUGCCUGUGGGGAUGGAGGAGAGCCACCCCAUAGGCCCCGAGGAAGUGGAGCAACAGGAACUCCCCAUGCCUUGCUGGAGGGGAUGCAGACUGCUGCAGCCACUCAAAGAGACAAUUUGGUGGUUUCUCACAAAAUUAACAUACUUGUAUAAUAUGAUCCAGCAAUGACACUCCAACCCAAAGGAACUGAGAACUUACGUCCACACAAAAACCUGCACAUGUACGUUUAUAGCAGCUUUGUUCAUAACUGACAAAACUUGGGAGCAACCCAGAUGUCCUCCAGUAGGUGAGUAGAUAAAUACAUGGUGGUCCAUCCAGAAAAUGAAAUAUUAAGCAGCACUAAAAAGAAAUGAGCUAUCAGCCGUGGAAAGACACGGAGGAACCGUGAAUGCAAAUCACUAAAUGAAAGAAGCCAACCUAAAAAGGCUGCACGUUGCAUGAUUCCGACUCUGUGACAUUCUGGGCAAGUCAGAACCAUGGCGACAGUUAAAAGAUUAGUGGUUGGGCUUCCCUGGUGGCGCAGUGGUUAAGAAUCCGCCUGCCAAUGCAGGGGACACGGGUUCCAGCCUUGGUCUGGGAAGAUCUCACAUGCCGUGGAGCAACUAACCCUGUGCGCUGCAACUACUGAGCCUGCGCUCUAGAGCCUGCGAGCCACAACUACUGAAGCCCACGGGCCUAGAGCCCAUGCUCCACAACAAGACAAGCCACUGCAAUGAGAAGCCCACACACCGCAACAAAGAGUAGCCCCCGCUCUCCACAACUAGAGAAAGCCCGCACGCAGCAACGGAGACCCAAAGCAGCCCAAAGUAAUUUUUUUUUAAUUAUUAAAAAAAAAAAAAAGACAGAGACACAGAGGACCACACCUGUGUCAGCAGAGCCGAGGCUGGAGCCCUGUGGCCACAAGCCAAGGGGUGCCAAGGAUGGCCGGCGCCAUGAGAAGCUGGAGAGAGGGAGGCUUCAGAGGCAGCACGGCCCAGCUGGUGCCUUGACCUCACACUCUGGCCUGUAGAGCUGAGACAGUAAGUUCUGUUGUCCUCAGCCACCCAGAUUGUGGCACUUCGUCACGGCCGUCCCAGGAGACCGAUACAGCCAUGCAUGCAGACAUCAGCUCAGGAGGUGGCCUCCCGGGGGACACGUGUCACGACGCUGUUAGAAGAAUGGGGACGCGGAAGGGCCACAAGAGAUGGACAAAAGCACCCGUAGAAGGACGUGGAGAGAACGAGUCCAUUAUUUUGAGGACAAGAAACCAAAACCACGUGCUUAUUUUCACAGCACAGGACGGGCGCUUGAGGACACACUCCGCCAUCCGCAGACCAUCCCUCGGGCCGGGGGAGGGGGUCUUUCGCUCUUUGCCGUUUCCCAGAGGGAGAUACUUCAUUUACUGUGAGGCUCAUUUGACCCCUAACCUGGAAUAAAUCUCACUAAAACAAUACGACUGGCUCCCUUUUCUAGACAAAAGUUGCCCGAUUUAUCGGCCAAGGGAGCCAGGACCUCACCCCUCUCCCUGGGGUGAACGUCCACAGGAACUCCUGGGGAGGGGCGUCCAGCGGGUCACGAAGGACAGGGACGAAGCAGCAACGACCCACCGGCUUGGGUUUUCUGGGCCCCAAAUGGGAGGUGUGGGAUGCUCUGCUCUGCGGGCCAGGUCCCGCGGCAGCUGCUCAGGGACAGAUCGCACGUGGUGGGUGCAUCCGGGGAGAAGGUGUGCGGAGGGGUGGACGCCUCGGGCACCAGGGGCACACCCGUCCCUUUCCACCAGCCAUGGGACAGCCCACUGCUGAGAAGGCUGGUGCUUCCUAAGGACACCUGCCCCUGGGGACGUGCGGACAGGGAGCUGAGGUGCAGACCUACCUUACUGCGCCUUCACCACCACGCUUCUCCCCCCAGGGUGCCGCAUCCAGCAGAGGGUUCGCAGGGAGCCGUGCACAAGGACACAAGGAGGCAGCUGCGUCCCUGCCGUCUGCCCGCUGCCACUCCCUCAAAGCGUUCGCCACCAGGGCCUGCCCAGCCGGGCACAGAGGAAACUGCAGGCUGGGACAAGCCAGCCAGCAAGGGGAGCCGGAUGUGCCCCCUGUUCGGCAGCCACUGGUAUCACUCGAUAAUCGUCAUCAGAUGGAGCGUAGCUGAUGGCACAGUUCUGUGUUGUCCACACUUAAUUCCACACGAUGGCGGCACGAGGUGAAGCAUCACAAAGGAGUAAAAGCCAGAAACAGGCGACCUGGACGCACGGCCAGCUGGGCUGCAGGACAAGCCCAAAGACCCAAGACAGGCCAUCCCAGCUUGCACUCCAAGGCCACCUGAAGGCCUCCACCACUCCACACGUGGGGUGGGAGCAAACCAGGCACUACCCUGCUCACAGCUCUGAGCUGGAAGGAAAAUAUAAGCACUGGCACAAAAGUUUGGAUUUUAUAAAUAAGAAAAGCCACUCGGAUGUUCCAAAGGGCACAUUUCUAUUUAUUCCAGAGGGCCAUGGGCCCCGCGCCCUUAAGGCCUCACUGGCCAUGAUGGGGCCACCCUGAAGCAGCAAGGCCCUUCCCCAGCUGGGCUGUAGGCAGGACUGACCCAGAGAAGCUUCUGCUAUAAACUGAAUUGUAUCCCCCGUCCCAAAUCCCGUGUUGAAACCCUAAACCCAGUGUGGUCCCGUUUGGAGGUGGGGCCUCUGGGAGGUGAUGAGGUGAGAUGAGGUUGUCGGGUGGGGCCCCGUCAUGGGAUUAGAGCCCUUAUAAAAGGAAGAGACACCAGCGCGCUCUCUCCCUUCCCCACGUGAGCACACAGUGCGGAGGUGCCGUCUGCAAGCCGGGAGGUGGGUCCUUGUCAGAACCGGCCACCUGAUCUCCGACUUCCAGCCUCCAGAACUGUGAGAAAUAAACUUCCACCGUGUCAGCCUCCUGGUCUGUGGUGUGUUGCUAUGGCAGCCCGAGCAGACUGACACAGCUUCGUAACUUGAUAACUUAAUGGCUAUUUUCAGUAUGUAUUAAUGAACUUAGAAUAUAAAUAUCCUGUAAAAUGAGAAAAAAAAUGUAGGAAAGUUCCAAACAUACUCAUCACUUAGCUUCAACAACUCAUU